AAUAUUGGACAAUGGGCGAAAGCCUGAUCCAGCCAUGCCGCGUGUGUGAAGAAGGUCUUCGGAUUGUAAAGUACUUUUGGCAGAGAAGAAAAGGUAUCUCCUAAUACGAGAUACUGCUGACGGUAUCUGCAGAAUACGGAUCGGCUAACUCCGUGCCAGCAGCCACGGUAAUACGGAGGAUCCAAGCGUUAUCCGGAAUCAUUGGGUUUAAAGGGUCCGUAGGCGGCCUUAUAAGUCAGCGGUGAAAGUUUUUGGCUUAACCAAAAAAUUGCCGUUGAUACUGUAGGGCUUGAAUUUUUGUGAAGUAACUAGAAUAUGUAGUGUAGCGGUGAAAUGCUUAGAUAUUACAUGGAAUACCAAUUGCGAAGGCAGGUUACUAACAAACGAUUGACGCUGAUGGACGAAAGCGUGGGUAGCGAACAG
rnacentral:rRNA from 1 species